rnacentral:rRNA from 1 species
GAUGAACGCUGGCGGCGUGCCUAAUACAUGCAAGUCGAGCGAACGGACGAGAAGCUUGCUUUUCUGAUGUUAGCGGCGGACGGGUGAGUAACACGUGGAUGACCUACCUAUAAGACUGGGAUAACUUCGGGAAACCGGAGCUAAUACCGGAUAAUAUUUUGAACCGCAUGGUUCAAAAGUGAAAGACGGUCUUGCUGUCACUUAUAGAUGGAUCCGCGCUGCAUUAGCUAGUUGGUAAGGUAACGGCUUACCAAGGCAACGAUGCAUAGCCGACCUGAGAGGGUGAUCGGCCAUACUGGAACUGAGACACGGACCAGACUCCUACGGGAGGCAGCAGUAGGGAAUCUUCCGCAAUGGGCGAAAGCCUGACGGAGCAACGCCGCGUGAGUGAUGAAGGUCUUCGGAUCGUAAAACUCUGUUAUUAGGGAAGAACAUAUGUGUAAGUAACUGUGCACAUCUUGACGGUACCUAAUCAGAAAGCCACGGCUAACUACGUG